rnacentral:rRNA from 1 species
CUUGAACGCUGGCGGCAGGCUUAACACAUGCAAGUCGAGCGGAGCGAGGGUGCUUGCACCUUAGCUUAGCGGCGGACGGGUGAGUAAUGCUUAGGGAUCUGCCUAUUAGUGGGGGACAACAUUCCGAAAGGAAUGCUAAUACCGCAUACGCCCUACGGGGGAAAGCAGGGGAUCUUCGGACCUUGCGCUACUAGAUGAGCCUAAGUCGGAUUAGCUAGUUGGUGGGGUAAAGGCCUACCAAGGCGACGAUCUGUAGCGGGUCUGAGAGGAUGAUCCGCCACACUGGGACUGAGACACGGCCCAGACUCCUACGGGAGGCAGCAGUGGGGAAUAUUGGGCAAUGGGCGGAAGCCUGAUCCAGCCAUGCCGCGUGUGUGAAGAAGGCCUUUUGGUUGUAAAGCACUUUAAGCGAGGAGGAGGCUACUUAGAUUAAUACUCUGGGAUAGUGGACGUUACUCGCAGAAUAAGCACCGGCUAACUCUGUGCCAGCCGCCGCAGUAACAC